ACUCUUAUAGUUCAAUGUAUAGAACAAUUCUCUUCUAGAGAGUAGAUAUAGGUUCGAUUCCUAUUAGGAGUGC
rnacentral:tRNA from 1 species